UACGGGGGGGGCAAGCGUUGUUCGGAAUUACUGGGCGUAAAGGGCGCGUAGGCGGUCUGCUAAGUUGGAUGUGAAAACUCUGGGCUUAACCCAGAGCCUGCAUUCAAUACUGACAGGCUAGAGUUCUGGAGGGGAUAGCGGAAUUCCUGGUGUAGCGGUGAAAUGCGUAGAUAUCAGGAGGAACACCGGUGGCGAAGGCGGGUCUCUGGGCCGUAACUGACGCUGAGGAGCGAAAGCGUGGGGAGCGAACAGG
rnacentral:rRNA from 1 species